rnacentral:rRNA from 1 species
GCUAAACGCGAAGAACCUUACCAAGGCUUGACAUAUACGAGAACGGGCCAGAAAUGGUCAACUCUUUGGACACUCGUAAACAGGUGGUGCAUGGUUGUCGUCAGCUCGUGUCGUGAGAUGUUGGGUUAAGUCCCGCAACGAGCGCAACCCUCGUUCUAUGUUGCCAGCACGUAAUGGUGGGAACUCAUGGGAUACUGCCGGGGUCAACUCGGAGGAAGGUGGGGAUGACGUCAAAUCAUCAUGCCCCUUAUGUCUUGGGCUUCACGCAUGCUACAAUGGCCGGUACAAAGGGCUGCAAUACCGUGAGGUGGAGCGAAUCCCAAAAAGCCGGUCCCAGUUCGGAUUGAGGUCUGCAACUCGACCUCAUGAAGUCGGAGUCGCUAGUAAUCGCAGAUCAGCAACGCUGCGGUGAAUACGUUCCCGGGUCUUGUACACACCG